GGGGGAAGCUUUUAGACUAAGUCUAAUAUAGUUGUAAUGUAGGCUAAAUACUUCAAUUUAGAGAACUAGUCAGGAAAAUUCCAGCAUCUGGUCUGCAGUAGUUGCCAGUCCCCAGGCCCGCCGCAACUGCAGGACAGAAGAAUGCUUUCACAGGAAGUAGGAGAUGGCUACUCCUGCAAGAAGGGAGGAGCCCCGACCCUGCUGGCUAUGAAAAAAGGAAACCAUCCAGGGGACAAUGAAUGUCUAUGAACCGGCUCUCAAGAUGCAGAGGCACAAAGAUUCUGAAUUCUAAGAUUCGAAGUCUUUAAGUUUGGAUACAGAGACCCUAUGCCAAUAAACAACAAGCAAGCAAGCAAA
rnacentral:lncRNA from 1 species